CACGUAGGGGGCGAGCGUUGUCCGGGUUUAUUGGGCGUAAAGAGCUCGUAGGCGGCUCAGUAAGUCGGGUGUGAAAACUCUGGGCUCAACCCAGAGACGCCACCCGAUACUGCUGUGGCUUGAGUCCGGUAGGGGAGCAUGGAAUUCCUGGUGUAGCGGUGAAAUGCGCAGAUAUCAGGAGGAACACCAGUGGCGAAGGCGGUGCUCUGGGCCGGAACUGACGCUGAGGAGCGAAAGCGUGGGUAGCAAACAGG
rnacentral:rRNA from 1 species